rnacentral:rRNA from 1 species
GGAUGCGAUCAUACCAGCACUAAAGCACCGGAUCCCAUCAGAACUCCGAAGUUAAGUGUGCUUGGGCGAGAGUAGUACUAGGAUGGGUGACCUCUUGGGAUGUCCUCGUGUUGCAUUCC